UAAAAAAAGAUCAUUCUAAGACAAGCUCACUUGGGAAGAUACAAAGAAGGUCAGCAUGGCCCCUGAACAAGGAUGACACACAAAUUUGUGGAAAAGAAAGCAACAAUU